UCGAACGGAAAGGCCCUGCUUGCAGGGUACUCGAGUGGCGAACGGGUGAGUAACACGUGGGUGAUCUGCCCUGCACUUCGGGAUAAGCUUGGGAAACUGGGUCUAAUACCGGAUAGGAACCAUCUUUAGUGUGGUGGUUGGAAAGUUUUUUCGGUGUAGGAUGAGCUCGCGGCCUAUCAGCUUGUUGGUGGGGUAAUGGCCUACCAAGGCGGCGACGGGUAGCCGGCCUGAGAGGGUGUACGGCCACAUUGGGACUGAGAUACGGCCCAGACUCCUACGGGAGGCAGCAGUGGGGAAUAUUGCACAAUGGGCGCAAGCCUGAUGCAGCGACGCCGCGUGGGGGAUGAAGGCCUUCGGGUUGUAAACUCCUUUCGCUAGGGACGAAGCUUUUUGUGACGGUACCUAGAUAAGAAGCACCGGCUAACUACGUGCCAGCAGCCGCGGUAAUACGUAGGGUGCGAGCGUUGUCCGGAAUUACUGGGCGUAAAGGGCUCGUAGGUGGUUUGUCGCGUCGUCUGUGAAAUUCUGGGGCUUAACUCCGGGCGUGCAGGCGAUACGGGCAUAACUUGAGUGCUGUAGGGGUAACUGGAAUUCCUGGUGUAGCGGUGAAAUGCGCAGAUAUCAGGAGGAACACCGAUGGCGAAGGCAGGUU
rnacentral:rRNA from 1 species